rnacentral:lncRNA from 1 species
ACUAAAGUUCCAUAGAACCGUCUUUCUUUAUGGAACCCAACACAGUUUCAUAAACCUAUGAUGAUUUUUGUCCUCCUGAUCUUUUCAGAGCCAUCGAAACGUGGUUUACUUGAUUGGAACACCCGCAUUAGCAUCAUUGAGGGGAUUGCAAGAGGCCUCCUUUACCUUCACAGGGAUUCAAGAUUGAAAAUUAUUCACAGGGAUCUAAAAGCAAGCAACAUCCUCUUAGAUGACCAGCUUAAGCCAAAAAUAUCAGAUUUCGGCUUAGCAAGAAUUUUCGGAGGCAACCAAGAUCAAGCAAAUACCGACAGGGUUGUAGGAACCUAGUAAGCACAUACUGCUAAAAUGAUAUCCUAUAAUGCAACUUCCGUAUAUUAACUUUGUUCUUACGUCCACAAAUUAUGUGAUAACAGUGGCUACAUGGCCCCUGAAUAUGCAAUGGAGGGAAGAUUUUCAGAAAAGUCAGAUGUUUACAGUUUCGGAGUGCUAUUAUUGGAGAUUGUAAGUGGAAGGAGAAACACAGGCUUUUACCAUGAUGAGUACGAGCUCAGCCUUUUAGGAUAUGUAAGCUUGUUUCUUUAUUAGGACUGCAAUUCUAAAGAUUCAUUUCCAUUUCUAACAUUUCAAUCUCUGAACUCCAAAAUUCAUCAACUUGCCAAAAUUUUCAGGCCUGGAAAUUGUGGAAUGGAAAUGAUAUAACAAAUUUGAUAGACCCGUUGAUCUUUGAUCCAUGCAUCGAAGUGGAGGUCAAGAGAUACGUACAUGUAGGACUACUAAGCGUGCAAGAAUAUACAAAGGAUCGGCCAAAUGUCUCAACUGUUCUGUCAAUGCUGAAUAGUGAAAUUGCAGACCUUCCUCGUCCUAAUUUACCAGCUUACAUAGGAAGAUUGGGUGCUUCAGCCAGAUGUCCUCAAAAAAGCACAGAUUCUGUGAAUGGUGCAAGUCUAACAAGUGUUCUAGGCAGAUAGCACAUCCCAAUACAUGGUUUUUU